GGGAUUAGAUACCCCACUAUGCUUAGCCUUAAACCCAGAUGUUAAAUUUACAAGCAACAUCCGCCAGGGUACUACAAGCGCUAGCUUAAAACCCAAAGGACUUGACGGUGUCUCAGACCCACCUAGAGGAGCCUGUUCUAGAACCGAUAACCCCCGUUAAACCUCACCACCCCUUGUUUAACCCGCCUAUAUACCGCCGUCGCAAGCUUACCCUGUGAAGGUCUCAUAGUAAGCAAAAUGGGGAAACCCCAAAACGUCAGGUCGAGGUGUAGCUUAUGAGGUGGGAAGAAAUGGGCUACAUUUUCUAUAUCAGAAUAUACGAACACCACUAUGAAAUUUAGUGCUCGAAGGUGGAUUUAGUAGUAAAAAACAAAUAGAGAGUCUUUUUGAACCAGGCUCUGAGACGCGCACACACCGCCC
rnacentral:rRNA from 1 species